rnacentral:rRNA from 1 species
GUGUCAGCAGCCGCGGUAAUACGUAGGGUGCAAGCGUUGUCCGGAAUUAUUGGGCGUAAAGAGCUCGUAGGCGGCUUGUCGCGUCUGCUGUGAAAACUGGAGGCUCAACCUCCAGCCUGCAGUGGGUACGGGCAAGCUAGAGUGCGGUAGGGGAGAUUGGAAUUCCUGGUGUAGCGGUGGAAUGCGCAGAUAUCAGGAGGAACACCGAUGGCGAAGGCAGAUCUCUGGGCCGUUACUGACGCUGAGGAGCGAAAGCAUGGGGAGCGAACAGGAUUAGAUACCCUGGUAGUCCAUGCCGUAAACGUUGGGAACUAGAUGUAGGGCCUGUUCCACGGGUUCUGUGUCGUAGCUAACGCAUUAAGUUCCCCGCCUGGGGAGUACGGCCGCAAGGCUAAAACUUAAAGAAAUUGACGG